UACGUAGGGUGCGAGCGUUGUCCGGAAUUACUGGGCGUAAAGGGCUCGUAGGCGGCCAACUAAGUCGGACGUGAAAUCCCUCGGCUUAACCGGGGAACUGCGUCCGAUACUGGAUGGCUUGAGUAUGGGAGAGGGAUGCGGAAUUCCAGGUGUAGCGGUGAAAUGCGUAGAUAUCUGGAGGAACACCGGUGGCGAAGGCGGCAUCCUGGACCAUUACUGACGCUGAGGAGCGAAAGCCAGGGGAGCAAACGGG
rnacentral:rRNA from 1 species